rnacentral:lncRNA from 1 species
UAUGUGAAAACCUCUAUAUUUCCCUCAAUAAACUCCAUUUAUGUGCCUUAAGAACAGAUGCCACUUAUAGCUUUGCCAUACUAUGAUUUUUAUUGCACCCAUAAAGACUCAAAAUUGUGCUAAUUGAUUGGCCUAUAAAAAUAGACUGAACCACAUGUGGGGUGUUACAAGCAUUCUUUAUGAGCAGCUGCUGGGAAUAUACUGGGGUGUGGGGACCAGAGAAGAUGUGGAUUUAUUACCAUGAGAGAUUUUUUUUUUUCUCUUCUUCUUGGAAAAAGGCUCAACUCUGGUGAAAAGGGCAGAUUCUAUUUUGAUUUGUGAGGCCAUCAGGAUGAGUAACUACAAGAAAAAGCAUUUUUCCUAAAAGGUUUGUUGGGCUAUGUUACAGGCUUUUGCAUGAACCAAUGAAACUCCACCAGUGGGGAGCAGAGAAGACCUAAGAAAACUUGUGGGCAUACUGUCAUGCUGUGUCUCUGUCCUGUACAGAUCAUUUAUCUGCAUAGUUGGAUCACAGACAACCUUCUUACAGCUGAAGACCAUAGCGAAUACUCCAUAUCUCCAGGGACUAUAGGACUGGAUUCAUCAUAGGGGGAGAAAGAAAAGAAAAGCUAUUUCAUUCUAAUGGAAAUUUCAUAAUGAAUUUCAGAGACUACAUUUUCAUAUUCAAUUUUCAAGACCAAUUUAAAAGAAUACAUUUAUUUCCUUACCUUCAGUCUGUUCUACAGUCACCAGUGGUCUCAGCUUACCCAGGACUAUCCCCUGAAGGAGGAAAUGGCAACCCACUCCAGUUCUUACAGGGAAAACCCCAUGGACAGAAGAGCCUGGAAGGCUACAGUUUGUGGGUUCAGAUAUAACUGAGUGACUAAGCAUGCAAGAUCCAGUGUAGUGUGGAAAGUCCUACACACACCCCCCAGAAACUGCCCAGGCAAACCAGGACUGUUGGUCACCUUUCCAGAAAAAAAAAAAAAAACAAAACCAACUAUUCUAACUAGAAGUAUACUGAUAAUUGAAACCAGAAUUACUAUUUUCCGUUUAUUUAUCCUAAAAAUCAAAACAGUUCUUAUUUCAAAACCUCUCCUACAAAAAAAUGAUUAUUUAUGAGAUAACUCGACAAAAAUCAUAAAGCCAAUCCACUUAUAAGAAUAAAGACAUUUCUUUAAUAAUCCUAGAAAGAAUC